AACAUACUGAUUUCAAACAUAAGUUCAUGUUUUUGUUAUAGUAAAAAUGGUAUGUAGGAAUUUCGGACGCGGGUUCAACUCCCGCCAGCUCCACCA
rnacentral:tmRNA from 1 species